rnacentral:tRNA from 1 species
ACUUGUCUAGCUCAGUUGGUAAAAUACAAGGCUUUUAAACUUGUGGUCGUGGGUUCGAGCCCCGCAAUGGGUG